GUGGGAAGAGUUGGUGAAGAAGAACCCAGAAGUGCACCAUCUUGCCUCCGUUCGUCCAAACAGAUGGGAAACGUUUCCCCGCAAGGCAAAAACGCCCCUCAGAUGUAUUCUGGAGAAUUAGGAUCAAUUUGACCCUCAGAUGCUAAGAAAGAAACGACAUAUUCUUCUGCAGUACUGCCUGGCCACCAUAUCCUCUUCAAGGGGGAGAGUCUUGGCCUCCUGAGGGAAGUAUAAAUUAUAACACCAUCUUACAGCUAGACCUCUUUUGUAGAAAAGAAGGCAAAUGGAGUGAAAUGCCAUAUGUACAAACUUUCUUUUCAUUAAGAGACAACUCGCAAUUAUGUAAAAAGUGUGAUUUAUGCCCUAUAGGAAGCCCUCAGAGUCUACUACCUCAGCAUCCCCUGACUGCUUCCCCAACUAGUAAGGACCCCCCUCCAACCCAAACGGUCCAAAAGGAGAUAGACAAAGGGGUAGACAAUGAACCAGCGAGUGCCAGUAUUCCCCGAUGAUGCCCUUUCCAAGCAGUGGGAGGAGGAGAAUUCGCCUCAGCCAGAGGACAUGUACCUUUUUCUCUCUCAGACUUAAAGCAAAUUAAAGUAGACCUAGCUAAAUUCUCAGAUAACCCUGAUGGCUAUAUUGAUGUUUUACAAGGGUUAGGACAAUCCUUUGAUCUGACCUGGAGAGAUAUAGUUACUGCUAAAUCAGACACUAACCCCAAAUGAGAGAAGCGCCGCCAUAACUGCAGCCCGAGAGUUUGGCGAUCUCUGGUAUCUCAGUCAGGUCAAUGAUAGGAUGACAACAGAGGAAAGAGAACGAUUCACCACAGGCCAGCAGGCAGUUCCCAGUGUAGACCCUCACUGGGACACAUAAUCAGAACAUGGAGAUUGGUGCCGCAGACAUGUGCUAACCUGCGUGCUAGAAGGACUAAGGAAAACUAGGAAGAAGCCUAUGAAUUAUUCAAUGAUGUCCACUAUAACCACAGGGAAGGGAAGAAAAUCCUACUGCCUUUCUGGAGAGACUAAGGGAGGCAUUGAGGAAGCAUACUCUCUGUCGCCUGACUCUAUUGAAGGCCAACUAAUCUUUUUUUUUUUUUUUUUUGAGACGGAGUCUCGCUCUGUCACCCAGGCUGGAGUGCUGUGGCCGGAUCUCAGCUCACUGCAAGCCUCGCCUCAGGCCCGGAGAAAAACUUAGAAAAAACCCUAUUGAACUUGGCAACCUCGGUUUUUUAUAAUAGAGAUUAGGAGAAGCAGGCGGAACAGGACAAACGAGAUUUAAAAAAGGCCACCGCUUUAGUCAUGGCCCUCAGGCAAGCGGACUUUGGAGGCUCUGGAAAAGGGAAAAGCUGGGCAAAUCGAAUGCCUACUAGGGCUUGCUUCUAGUGCGAUCUACAAGGACACUUGAAAAAAGAUUGUCCAAGUAGAAGUAAGCCGCCCCCUCAUCCAUGCCCCUUGUGUCAAGGGAAUCACUGCAGAGCCCACGGCCGCAGGGGAUCAAAGUCCUCUCAGUCAGAAGCCACUAACCAGAUGAUCCAGCAGCAGGACUGAGGGUGCCCGGGGCAAGCGUCAGCCCAUGCCAUCACCCGCACAGAGCCCCAGCUGUAGAACUACAAAUAGUUCUUCAAAUGGAGCCCCAGAUGCAGUCCAUGACUAAGAUCUACCGCGGACCCCUGGACCAGCCUGCUAGCCCAUGCUCCAAUGUUAAUGACAUCGAAGGCACUCCUCCUGAGGAAAUCUCAACCGCACAACCCCUGCUACACCCCAAUUCAGUAGGAAGCAGUUAGAACGGUCGUUGGCCAACCUCCCCAACAGCACUUGAGUUUUCCUAUCGAGAAGGGGGACUGAGAGACAGGACUAGCUGGAUUUCCUAGGCCAACUAAGAAUCCCUAAGCCUAGCUGGGAAGGUGACUGCAUCCACCAUUAAACACAGGGCUUGCAACUUAGCCCACACCCGACCAAUCA